rnacentral:lncRNA from 13 species
AUGCGUCCUCCAGCUUCCUCUCAAUAUGCAGCAGUUUCAGCACCUGUAGUAGGAGACGGGACACGCGACGAGUGUUGGGAGGUUCUGGGCAAAGAAGGGACACUCCAGUCUCAGGAGGCUCUGGGCAGAGACGAGAUACGCAAGUUUCAGGAGGCUCCGAGUAGAGACUGGACAUCCGACGAGUCUUGGGAGGCUCCAGGAGGAAACUGGACCCUCGAGUCUCGGGCGGCUCUGGACGGAGAUGGAACACUCCUGUCUCAGGAGGCUCCAGGUGGAAAUGGGACACUCGAGUCUCAGGAGGCUCCGGGCGGAGAUGAGACACUCCAAUCUCGGGAGGCUCUGGACGGAGAUGGGACACUCCAGUCUCAGGUGGCUCCGGGCAGAGAUGGGACACUCCAGUCUCGGGCGGCUCUGGACGGAGAUGGGACACUCCUGUCUCAGGAGGCUCCAGGUGGAGAUGGGACACUUGAGUCUCAGGAGGCUCUGGGCGGAGAUGAGACACUCCAAUCUCGGGAGGCUCUGGACGGAGAUGGGACACUCCAGUCUCAGGUGGCUCCGGGCAGAGAUGGGACACUCCGGUCUCGGGCGGCUCUGGACGGAGAUGGGACACUCCUGUCUCAGGAGGCUCCAGGUGGAGAUGGGACACUCGAGUCUCAGGAGGCUCCGGGAGGAGAGGAGACACUCCAAUCUCGGGAGGCUCUGGACGGAGAUGGGACACUCCAGUCUCAGGUGGCUCCGGGCAGAGAUGGGACACUCCAGUCUCGGGAGGCUCUGAAUGGAGAUGGGACACUUCAGUCUCAGGAGACUCUGGGCGGAGAUAUGAUACCAGAGUCUUGGGAGGCUGCGGGCCGAAUUCCCCACAAGGGUAUUUACCAGGCUCCGUGGGUUCCUCAGUUACCUUCUCCCAGUCCUCACAACAAGCCCAUGCGCCCUCCAGGUUCCUCUCAGGAUCCAGCAGUGUCAGCACCUGUCGUAGGAGAUCUGGAGGCAUAUCUUCUCCCAGAUUGGGGUCCAUGGCCAAGGAAUGCUCAGCCAUAA